AUUGAACGCUGGCGGCAGGCCUAACACAUGCAAGUCGAACGGUAGCACAGAGAGCUUGCUCUCGGGUGACGAGUGGCGGACGGGUGAGUAAUGUCUGGGAAACUGCCCGAUGGAGGGGGAUAACUACUGGAAACGGUAGCUAAUACCGCAUAACGUCGCAAGACCAAAGUGGGGGACCUUCGGGCCUCACACCAUCGGAUGUGCCCAGAUGGGAUUAGCGAGUAGGUGGGGUAAUGGCUCACCUAGGCGACGAUACCUAGCUGGUCUGAGAGGAUGACCAGCCACACUGGAACUGAGACACGGUCCAGACUCCUACGGGAGGCAGCAGUAGGGAAUAUUGCACAAUGGGCGCAAGCCUGAUGCAGCCAUGCCGCGUGUAUGAAGAAGGCCUUCGGGUUGUAAAGUACUUUCAGCGGGGAGGAAGGCGGUGAAGUUAAUAGCUUCACCGAUUGACGUUACCCGCAGAAGAAGCACCGGCUAACUCCGUGCCAGCAGCCGCGGUAA
rnacentral:rRNA from 1 species